AUAUUAAGUAGGCCGAAACCUGAACUUGAGGUGCGGGGGACGAAAGAUGAAAACAGGGGCUGCCUAGCUGACUGUUUUCUUGGGGUGAAGCGUAUCGAAGCGAUGCGCCGGGAAUGAUCCUUUUUCCCGAAUCCGACAACUAACUCCGCAGGCGCAGUAAAAAGGAGGG
rnacentral:sRNA from 2 species